GAUGAACGCUGGCGGCGUGCCUAAUACAUGCAAGUCGAGCGAACGGACGAGAAGCUUGCUUCUCUGAUGUUAGCGGCGGACGGGUGAGUAACACGUGGAUAACCUACCUAUAAGACUGGGAUAAAUUCGGGAAACCGGAGCUAAUACCGGAUAAUAUUUUGAACCGCAUGGUUCAAAAGUGAAAGACGGUCUUGCUGUCACUUAUAGAUGGAUCUGCGCUGCAUUAGCUAGUUGGUAAGGUAACGGCUUACCAAGGCAACGAUGCAUAGCCGACCUGAGAGGGUGAUCGGCCACACUGGAACUGAGACACGGUCCAGACUCCUACGGGAGGCAGCAGUAGGGAAUCUUCCGCAAUGGGCGAAAGCCUGACGGAGCAACGCCGCGUGAGUGAUGAAGGUCUUCGGAUCGUAAAACUCUGUUAUUAGGGAAGAACAUAUGUGUAAGUAACUGUGCACAUCUUGACGGUACCUAAUCAGAAAGCCACGGCUAACUACGUG
rnacentral:rRNA from 1 species